CAAUAGCGUAUAUUAAAGUUGUUGCGGUUAAAAAGCUCGUAGUUGGAUUUCUGCCGAGGACGACCGGUCCGCCCUCCGGGUGAGUAUCUGGUUUGGCCUGGGCAUCUUCUUGGAGAACGUAGCUGCACUUGACUGUGUGGUGCGGUGUCCAGGACUUUUACUUUGAGGAAAUUAGAGUGUUUCAAGCAGGCACACGCCUUGAAUACAUUAGCAUGGAAUAAUAAGAUAGGACCUCGGUUCUAUUUUGUUGGUUUCUAGAGCUGAGGUAAUGAUUAAUAGGGAUAGUUGGGGGCAUUCGUAUUUAACUGUCAGAGGUGAAAUUCUUGGAUUUGUUAAAGACGGGCAACUGCGAAAGCGUUUGCCCAGGAUGUUUUCAUUGA
rnacentral:rRNA from 1 species